rnacentral:rRNA from 1 species
GACGAACGCUGGCGGCGUGCUUAACACAUGCAAGUCGAACGGAAAGGCCCUGCUUGCAGGGUGCUCGAGUGGCGAACGGGUGAGUAACACGUGGGUGAUCUGCCCCUUACUUUGGGAUAAGCCUGGGAAACUGGGUCUAAUACUGGAUAGGACCAUGCUGUAGGUGGUGUGGUGGAAAGAUUAGUUUCGGUAAGGGAUGAGCUCGCGGCCUAUCAGCUUGUUGGUGGGGUAAUGGCCUACCAAGGCGUCGACGGGUAGCUGGCCUGAGAGGGUGGACGGCCACAUUGGGACGGAGAUACGGCCCAGACUCCUACGGGAGGCAGCAGUGGGGAAUAUUGCACAAUGGGCGCAAGCCUGAUGCAGCGACGCCGCGUGGGGGAUGACGGCCUUCGGGUUGUAAACUCCUUUCAGCCAUGACGAAGCCUUCGGGUGACGGUAGUGGUAGAAGAAGCACCGGCUAACUACGUG